GCUGUGAUGGCCGAGUGGUUAAGGCGUUGGACUCGAAAUCCAAUGGGGUGUCCCCGCGCAGGUUCAAACCCUGCUCACAGCG
rnacentral:tRNA from 1 species